UUUAACUGAAGAGUUUGAUCAUGGCUCAGAUUGAACGCUGGCGGCAGGCUUAACACAUGCAAGUCGAGCGGGGGAAGGUAGCUUGCUACUGGACCUAGCGGCGGACGGGUGAGUAAUGCUUAGGAAUCUGCCUAUUAGUGGGGGACAACAUCUCGAAAGGGAUGCUAAUACCGCAUACGUCCUACGGGAGAAAGCAGGGGAUCUUCGGACCUUGCGC
rnacentral:rRNA from 1 species